rnacentral:tRNA from 1 species
GGGAGUAGUUCAAUUGGUUAGAGCACUGGCUUGUCAUGUCAGAAGUUGCGGGUUCGAGUCCCGUCUCCCG